CCAUCAGGUAAUGCUGGGAACUCCGUAGAGCCUGCCGUCGUAAGGCGAGAGGAAGGUGGGGAUGACGUCAAAUCAGCACGGCCCUUACAUCCGGGGCGACACACGUGUUACAAUGGUAAGGACAAAGGGCAGCUACCUGGCGACAGGAUGCGAAUCUCUAAACCUUAUCACAGUUCGGAUCGGAGUCUGCAACUCGACUCCGUGAAGCUGGAUUCGCUAGUAAUCGCGCAUCAGCCAUGGCGCGGUGAAUACGUUCCCGGGCCUUGUACACACCGCCCGUCAAGCCAUGGGAGUCUGGAGUACCUAAAGUCCGUAACCGCGAGGGUCGGCCUAGGGUAAUACAGGUGACUGGGGCUAAGUCGUAACAAGGUAGCCGUACCGGAAGGUGCGGCUGGAACACCUCCUUUCUGGA
rnacentral:rRNA from 1 species